AUGCCACACGAACGGCCUGUGAAGCAGAGACAGCCUCACAGGCGUGCCAGGGCAGGGGAGGCGGCAGGGAAGGGGUGGGCUAGGGCACCGGGCCCGGCAGGGGAGGCGGUUACAGGAUGGACGAGGCACGCAGCGCAGACAGCCGCACUGGACCUCCUGCGGCGGGAAAGGACAGCUAAACCACCCUGCUGCAGAGACAGGAACAGUGCGGAUCAACCACGCUUCAGGCAAAACACAGCGCCAGACACAAGACACGGGGUAGCAGGCCCAGGCGUGUGUCCCCAAAGCCCCUGGCACAGAACCAGGAGUGCAUGGAGCCAGCUGGGCAGACGGCGCCGCGGUCCACACCCACUGGGGCGGCCCACCGCCCAGGCGGGCGAGUUCCGGGCCCCCAGGCAGACGCGCGGGUCACGGGCCCGCUCCUGCUCCCAGGCACCCUUCCCAGGGCAGCCUCGAAAAGGCGAGAAGGCGCACACCCCCCACCCUGGCUCUGGGUGUGGCCGGGCACGGCGCAGCCCUCACUCCACAGACCCACCACCGUGGACUCCCACUGGCUUCCAGAGGACGUGUGGACCGGCCCCAGGAGGUCCUUGCAUAUUUCACGGAGUCGGUAUUCAAACCCUAGUUACAGAAACACAGAACCAGAACAUGUCACAUAGGACCAGAAAGCCGAGCCCAGGCCAAGUUACCACAAACGCAGAGCCCAAGGGACCACCGCUCCGCGCACCACCUACGGCCUGCUGUCUCGGCUCUGGCCCUGACCUGCCCUCUCCCUGGGCACAAGCCCGUUCUGGUGUGGGCAGGGCUGCGGGAGGAGGGGUCGGCAGGGGCUCUGCUGGAGAGGAGGGCAGGCGUGGGUCAGGGGACGGGGUUCCUGGGGCAGAGACAUGGAUGGGCCCCGGAGAGCUGGGCUGAGGGCCAUGCAGCUGCUGGACAGCAGGCGGCCCUGCUGGGCGGGACGGGCUCGAAGGAGGGAGAUAGCUGUGGGCCUACGGGGCUCAGAGGGGCGGGGGGCGCAGAGGCUUCCGGGAG
rnacentral:lncRNA from 1 species